rnacentral:rRNA from 1 species
UACGGGGGGGGCAAGCGUUGUUCGGAAUUACUGGGCGUAAAGCGCACGUAGGCGGCUUUGUAAGUUAGAGGUGAAAGCCUGAUGCUCAACAUCAGAAUUGCCUUUAAGACUGCAUCGCUUGAACGUCGGAGAGGUGAGUGGAAUUCCGAGUGUAGAGGUGAAAUUCGUAGAUAUUCGGAAGAACACCAGUGGCGAAGGCGGCUCACUGGACGACUGUUGACGCUGAGGUGCGAAAGCGUGGGGAGCAAACAGG